rnacentral:rRNA from 1 species
GACGAACGCUGGCGGCGUGCUUAACACAUGCAAGUCGAGCGGAAAGGCCCUUCGGGGUGCUCGAGCGGCGAACGGGUGAGUAACACGUGAGUAACCUGCCCCAGACUUUGGGAUAACCCUCGGAAACGGGGGCUAAUACCGGAUACGACACAGCUUCGCAUGGGGUCUGUGUGGAAAGUUUUUCGGUUUGGGAUGGGCUCGCGGCCUAUCAGCUUGUUGGUGGGGUGAUGGCCUACCAAGGCGACGACGGGUAGCCGGCCUGAGAGGGCGACCGGCCACACUGGGACUGAGACACGGCCCAGACUCCUACGGGAGGCAGCAGUGGGGAAUAUUGCACAAUGGGCGGAAGCCUGAUGCAGCGACGCCGCGUGAGGGAUGACGGCCUUCGGGUUGUAAACCUCUUUCAGCAGGGACGAAGCGUAAGUGACGGCACCUGCAGAAGAAGCGCCGGCCAACUACGUG